CACGCCGUAAACGAUGAAUGCUAGGUGUAGGGGCCUUAAGCGCUCCUGUGCCGGAGCUAACGCAUUAAGCAUUCCACCUGGGGAGUACGGCCGCAAGGUUGAAACUCAAAGGAAUUGACGGGAGCCCGCACAAGCAGUGGAGUAUGUGGUUUAAUUCGAUGCAACGCGGAGAACCUUACCUGAAUUUGACAUCCUCAUAAAAGCCAUAUAAAAAGGUAAUGCCCUUCGGGGAAAUGAGAGACAGGUGG
rnacentral:rRNA from 1 species